rnacentral:lncRNA from 1 species
UGCCCGACAAACCUAAAGCUAUAACCAUUAAGGGUGUUGUGUUGUGUAAAAGGUGUCAGUGUGAAUGUGAAUUGGAAGUACCAGCUCUUGGAGGUAUAGUUGACCAGAAUCUGGUAAGAAAAAAAAGGUAAUGAAAGAUGCUUGCAAAGUGAUUGCCAGAGUAUCUGGGCCUAGUUUGCCUAAGAAGAUGACUAGCAGAAGCAUCUUAUAAAGAUUAGGAAGGUGCUUUGAACCUAAGAACCCAUCUAAAGUGUUUUGAGACUAUGAACCCUCUAAAGUUGUAGAGGAUAAAAAACUCUAAAAGGAUGCCAAGACUAGGGAGU